UUUAACAAUUGUACUGUAUGCCACGUGAAGGUACUUUGAAACAGAUGUCUUACAAAUACUCAAGUCUGUCUUCUUUGGAGCAGCUUGGUUCACUCGAUGAAGCAGGUGAAAAGCGCAUCAAAAAUCAUGUUCUUAAUUUGCAGAAAUUAGCUCAGGUGGCGGUGAUGUUAUCUGCAGCUGAGGAGCAGGAGGCUAGAGAAACCCUUGGUGGGUUUUGAAAGGUAAAGACGGAAACACCCUUUGAAGGAAUCGAAAAGACAGAAUCAUAGUUCAAGGGUGAGAGAGAUGAAGGGACAAUCUGGGAAUUCUGAUUCUGUUGAGGGUGAAGAGGAGAAGAAGGAAGAAGUUCAUGUAAAGGGAAAUCAGAAGGAAAUUGACAACAAUGGCAGCUUUGAAGGUGAAAGCUUGCUGGAAUUUGAUGGUAGAGAGAGAGGACCGCAUAACAGGACAGACGAUUGGAACAGGACAUGACACAAGGCCUUUACUACCUUGCCUCUUCAAAUUCCUUGAAAGCAUGCUCCGUUACAGAUUCUCCAGAUCUAAUUCACAAACAUUUGGGACAUCCGAGUCUAUCCAAACUGCAAAAGACGGUGCCUAGUUUGUCUAGUUUAUCCAAAUUAGAUUGUGAGUGUCACGACCCAAAACGGGUCGCGAGUGGCACCCACACUUAUCCUACUAUGUGAGCGAACCAACCAAUCCAAUUUCCAACAUUUGUACCAUAAUAAACAGAAAAUUA